rnacentral:rRNA from 1 species
GGUGAACGCUGGCGGCGUGCUCAAGACAUGCAAGUCGAACGGCAGUCUUCGGACUGUAGUGGCGCACGGGUGAGUAACGCGUAACUGACCUACCCCAAAGUCGCGGAUAACGAUUCGAAAGAAUCGCUAAUACGUGAUGUGCUGUCAGAUUGUGUUCUGCCAGUAAAGAUUGAUUGCUUUGGGAUGGGGUUGCGUUCCAUCAGCUGGUUGGUGGGGUAAAGGCCCACCAAGGCGACGACGGAUAGCCGGCCUGAGGGGGUGGCCGGCCACAGGGGAACUGAGGCACGGAUCCCACUACUACGGGAGGCGGCAGUUAGGAAACUUCCACAAUGGGCGAAAGCCCGAUGGAGCGACGCCGCGUGAGGGAUGAAGGUCUUCGGAUCGUAAACCUCUGAAUCAGGGACGAAAGACACUUCGGUGGGAUGACGGUACCUGAGUAAUAGCACCGGCUAACUCCGUGCCAGCCGCCGCCGUAAGAC